UACGUAGGGGGCAAGCGUUGUCCGGAUUUAUUGGGCGUAAAGAGCGUGUAGGCGGCUUGGUAGGUCUGCUGUGAAAACUCGGGGCUCAACCCCGAGACGUCGGUGGAAACCACCUGGCUAGAGUCCGGAAGAGGAGAGUGGAAUUCCAGGUGUAGCGGUGAAAUGCGCAGAUAUCAGGAAGAAUAUCCGUGGCGAAGGCGGCUCUCUGGGACGGUACUGACGCUGAGACGCGAAAGCGUGGGGAGCGAACAGG
rnacentral:rRNA from 1 species